rnacentral:rRNA from 1 species
UAGGGAAUCUUCCGCAAUGGACGCAAGCCUGACGGAGCAACGCCGCGUGAGUGAUGAAGGUCUUCGGAUCGUAAAACUCUGUUAUUAGGGAAGAACAAAUGUGUAAGUAACUAUGCACGUCUUGACGGUACCUAAUCAGAAAGCCACGGCUAACUACGUGCCAGCAGCCGCGGUAAUACGUAGGUGGCAAGCGUUAUCCGGAAUUAUUGGGCGUAAAGCGCGCGUAGGCGGUUUUUUAAGUCUGAUGUGAAAGCCCACGGCUCAACCGUGGAGGGUCAUUGGAAACUGGUUGACUUGAGUGCAGAAGAGGAGAGUGGAAUUCCAUGUGUAGCGGUGAAAUGCGUAGAUAUAUGGAGGAACACCGGUGGCGAAAGCGGCUCUCUGGUCUGUAACUGACGCUGAGGCUCGAAAGCGUGGGGAGCGAACAGG